GACGAACGCUGGCGGCGUGCUUAACACAUGCAAGUCGAACGGAAAGGCCCUGCUUUUGUGGGGUGCUCGAGUGGCGAACGGGUGAGUAACUCGUGAGUAACCUGCCCUUGACUUUGGGAUAACUUCAGGAAACUGGGGCUAAUACCGGAUAGGAGCUCCUGCUGCAUGGUGGGGGUUGGAAAGUUUCGGCGGUUGGGGAUGGACUCGCGGCUUAUCAGCUUGUUGGUGGGGUAGUGGCUUACCAAGGCUUUGACGGGUAGCCGGCCUGAGAGGGUGACCGGCCACAUUGGCACUGAGAUACGGCCCAGACUCCUACGGGAGGCAGCAGUGGGGAAUAUUGCACAAUGGGCGGAAGCCUGAUGCAGCAACGCCGCGUGCGGGAUGACGGCCUUCGGGUUGUAAACCGCUUUCGCCUGUGACGAAGCGUGAGUGACGGUAAUGGGUAAAGAAGCACCGGCUAACUACGUG
rnacentral:rRNA from 1 species